GUAUAUAAUCAUUACUAUUCUACUUUUAACAUUCAUAACUCUCUCUCUUUCCAACCAAUAACAAACUCUCGCUUUCUCUCACUUUCCCUAGAAAAUUCAACUUGCUAGCUUUCACCAAUCUCAGACAAUCUAAUAAUUUGGAAGUUGUUGAUUUCACAUUCAACAAUUUCUUGGUCUUUUUGGUCAUCAAUUGGGACAUUAAAUUGGAGUUUGCUAGCUUUCAAGAAUCUGAUAACUUGGAAGUUAUUGAUUUCACAUUCAGCAAUUUCUUGGUCUUUUUGAUCAGCAGUCUGAAAAUUAAAUUCAAGUUUGGUAGCUUUCAAGAAUCUGAUAGCUUGGGCACCGUUGAUUUCACGUUCAGCAAUUUCUUGGUCUUUUUGGUCAUCAAUCCGUCUCAGCUUUCUCCAGAAAAUUAUAUUCGAGUUUGCUAGCUUUCAAGAAUCUGAUAACUAGGAAGUCGUUGAUUUCGCAUCAGCAAUUUCUUGGUCCUUUUGGUCAUCAAUCCGAAAAUUAAAUUCAAGCUUGGUAGCUUUCAAGAAUCUGAUAGCUUGGGUAUCGUUGAUUACGCAUUCGGCCGGUAAUUUCUUCUGAGUCUUGUUCAUCAUCGAUUAGGAUCCGUCAAGAAGAGUAGCUGGUAACCUUUGAUAUUCCAAGUUCCAAUGGCGCUUCCACCAGAAACUGAACGUAUGCUUAUUGCUCUUCAAGCCUUUCUGGAUGCCCCACCACCUCCUUGCUACUUCCGCUGCACCCGUUGCCAUCAUUACGUUACUUCUGACCUCAAUUUGAUUCAGGAUCUUUAUCCAUUUUCCAUGACUCAGCUCCUCUUUGAACCCGACGUUACCGGUGUGAUGCAUGGAGAAUACGAUCAACCGAUUCAUGGUCAAUAUGUUGGUGCAUUUCCUGAAUUGAGUCAUGUAGAUUUGGUUUCUAUCUACUGCAUUCCAUGUGGAAACUGGCUUGGGUGGAAAAUAAUUUUGCAGCACGCUGACCACCCUGUAAUCCGUGAAGGGCAAUUCAUACUCAGAUAUGGUGCUGGUGCAGGCAUAGAGGCUGUAUUUCCUAUGGAUUUUUUUCUAUAGAUUUCUAUUCAAAUGUUGUGAUGUCUGAUUGUGAAUAUAAUCGCAAUUGUUACUACUACUUGCUGAAAUAUAUAGUGUGAUGUCUGAUUGUGAA